CCUACGGGUGGCAGCAGUGGGGGAUAUUGGACAAUGGGGGAAACCCUGAUCCAGCGACGCCGCGUGAGUGAAGAAGUAUUUCGGUAUGUAAAGCUCUAUCAGCAGGGAAGAAAGAAAUGACGGUACCUGAGUAAGAAGCCCCGGCUAACUACGUGCCAGCAGCCGCGGUAAUACGUAGGGGGCAAGCGUUAUCCGGAAUUACUGGGGGUAAAGGGAGCGUAGGCGGUAAUGCAAGUCUGGAGUGAAAGGCGGGGGCCCACACCCCGGAGAGCCCUGGAAACUGGGUAACUGGAGUGCAGGAGAGGUAGGCGGAAUGCCUGGUGUAGCGGUGAAAUGCGUAGAUAUUAGGAGGAACACCAGUGGCGAAGGCGGCCUGCUGGACUGUAACUGACGUUGAGGCUCGAAAGCGUGGGGAGCAAACAGGAUUAGAUACCCGGGUAGUC
rnacentral:rRNA from 1 species